rnacentral:lncRNA from 1 species
CCCGCCGGCACCCCGGGCCGCCCGAGGAGCACCUGCGCCGCGCGCCCCAACGCACCGAGACGCGGCGGAGCGUCAGCGUUCGGCGCAGCUUUCGAGGACGGUUCUUUUCGCCGCGAAACGAUCGAUACCGAACCGAGGGAGAGCGCCGGCUGCGCCGCGGCGACCGCCCUCGGACGGCGCUGCCGGGGCUCCUCCAGCCGACCCCCGCGGCGGCCGGCGGCACGUCCCCGGCGAGGGCAGGGCUGCGGCCCCGAGGCGCGUCCCGCGGCCGGCACGGACAGGGAGGCGCCGGCGGCCCGAGGACGGGACGGAGCCGUUCGCAGACAGCGCGGGGACGCCCAAGGGCAGGGGCGGGCGCGAGGACGCGGCGCGGAGGCCGCCCUUACCUGACAGGAGGCGCCGGUGACCCCCGGCGGGCAGACGCAGCGGUAGGCGGCCGCGGACGGGAGGCGGCGGGGCGCGGCGGGAAAGCAGGUGCCGUUGUUGCGGCAAGGCCGGCUGAGGCACGGGUCCGACCCGGGGGGCGCGGCCGUGACCGGCCCGGGGAGGCAGGAGCGGCGCUGGGCGAGGGCGAGCAGCAGCAGCAGCAGCAACAGCGGCGGGGCGGCUCGGGGCAUGGCGGCCGGGGCGGGUGCCGCUCCGCUGCGGGCACCGGCGGGCAGAAAAGGAGCGGACGGAUGGAGGGAUGGAUGGAGGCGGCGGCCGCCCGGCUGCUCCCUACCCCCCGUUCCCCGGGCAACGUGCGGGCGGGGACUGGGCGGGGAGGAGCCGGCCGCCGCGCCCGGCAGGGGGCAGCCGCCCUCCCGCAGCGCCGCCCGGACCCGGAGCCGGGCUGUAACGGCGCGAGGCGGGGCGCGCGGACGCGGGGCAGCGGGAAACGAGCGCGUGCCCGGCCUUCCCGCCGCUGCUGCUGCUGCGGCGGCACGGGGGGGGAGAAGGCGGGAAAGGAGGGCGGGAGCGCCGCCCUGGGCUCAGCGCACGCCCUUGUAAAUCACACCCUGGUGCAGAACUUCGCGUUCGCUUUUUGGCUGUUGCUUCGCUCACACGUGUCGUCUGGCGCUACUAGAGCUAGAUGACAGCGUGACGGUUAGCCGCAUUUCCCGGCCUUCCGGGCAGCUGCUUCAGCAAAAGUAACAAAACCCGUAGCAACUCGCGUUGGCGGCAGCACUGGGGCGCGGCCUGUGGAAACCUCCGCACCUCCCGUACCGGUAAUGGCUGCAGGCGCGUCGGGGACAGAAGCGACGGGCAACGCUGGUGGAGCCGGGAGCGCAGGAGGGGCCGGCGCCGCCCGCGUGCCGUAUGGGAUCCCCGCAGCCGGGCUGAGGUGAGCUCUCGUUGCUGUCCGUUACCUGACGAGCCGCCCCGCUGCCCGCGGUACCCCGGGUGCCUUUCAGCCGCGCGUCUGUGCCGCUCUGGCUCCCCCUGCUGGCUCCGCUCCGCUCCUCGCUCCGAACUCACCCGGCCGUUCGGAUGGAGCCGAUCCGGCUGCCGUCGGUCCCGGAUGACGGCGGGUCGGUGCUGUGUUCACCUGCGGGCACUGUGGUGAUACAAGUGAAUAAAGCUAGGCAAUACACGCACGCGAAUUAAGCUGCUUCUUUACACUGCAGCUGUCUCCUCCUUAAGGUUGCCUUCUUCUAGCAACGCUUAUUGGAGCUCCUUGUGUGGUGACCCAGGAAAACUGCUGUGCUCACCCCCACAGCCCAUCAUCCUCAGUGGUUACUAUCAUACCCCAGAAACAAAAGGAAAGCAUUCUUCCAAUCUGGGACGGAACCACCACUUACUGUUUUUAGGUAUUCUCUCCAAGCACUUUUUGCUAUCAUCUUACACAGUAAGAAAAAGAAAUCCUACUCUGCUAAGCUUGUUCCAGGAAUGUGGUGGUAAUCAAUGCCAGAGGCCAAUGGCCGUGUCAGGUUAUAACAAUUGUUUGUUCCGUUCCACUCACAAAACCUACCGCCGUGUUCUACAAGAAGGUAAUGUGGUUUGACGUGAUGUGUUCGUGGUGAGUCUGCAGAGGCUCUGCUCCUUGUCUCCUUGCUACUGUCUCAGUGCUCUGAAAUGGCUGCUACAUAGCCAGAAUUCUGUGGCAAUGGAUGUUAAAGCAGCUACACUGUGAUUCUGAGUCCUCCUGUUCAGGCAAAAAACAUUGGCCCUUUUGCAGUCUCCCUUCCCCACAGCCUUUCAGAGGUAGUUGUUAACAGCGAGUUUCACAGCGCCCUCUGACCAUCUCAUAGAGCAAACCACCAGCACAAGCUGGAAAGGUGUUUUACCCUCUAACCUCAUCUCUUUCUCUUGGCUCAGGCUCCUCCCCUGGCUGACCUUUGUGAAGGACAGGACAUCCGAGCCUCUGUUCUUUGUUUGCUCUUUGUACCCUCAAUUCUGAUUCUGAUGGAACUCCAACCUAUGUCUUAUGCUUAAUAUAAUAUAUGGCCUUAUACUUAAUACACUUAAGUAAGCAUUGGAAAAAAUGGUUUCAAGGCUGACAGACGCUGAGUUCUGUUGAUGUAGGAGUCUGGGAUUUGUAGAAGAGAACAACUGAAAGACUAAACUAGGCAAUGCACGCAACAGAGCAGGGCGUAACUGUGCCACCUGCCUUCCUUCUUUUUACAGGAUAUACCACCAAUGUUUGCAUUAUGAAUUUCAUUUUCAUAAAUAAAUAUUUAACUAUACAACGGAAAAUAUUAUGCUUAGCUAAUUACCUAAUGAUUUUCUAAAAUGCUGUGCCUUUUUAUGCAUUUUAAUGUUCCGAUACACAUAGUUUAAAUAAUUUUAGUCAGCCCUCCACAAACAAAUUGCUAAUUGAAAUAUUCAGCAAGGAUUCAAGCUGUCUGCUUCAUUUACACUUAUUAGACAUAAUACAAUUCAAAUUCCAGCAUCUAAGACACUAAUAAGCUAAGCUACAUUACAGCUUAACUACUUAUUUUGAUGUAGGAGUACUCAUCCUCUGGUGGCUCGAAGGAGAUUUCGCAGGGCGUUUUUCCCCCUCGUCUCUCUGUUCUGUUUAAAUAUUCAGUGAGGAACGGGAAUCUCUGAUUUCCCAAGGGGAAGUUCUGUGCUUUAAGUGCCCCCCCAUAACAACAGCAAUCUUUUUUCAAACACUGAUGCGUUCUUUUAAAACCUCCUAGCUUAGUUAGGUUGCUUUUUACUAGUAGAGGAGCUAUUUAAGUGAGAGUUACAGUGUUAAAGCUUUCCAAACAGCACCUGAAAGGACUAGAUGGUCUUAGGGGCCUUCUCCAACCUCAGUGAUUCCCUUCCGUGAUGUUUUGGUCAGGCUGCAACUGACAUUUUGCUCACCUCUCCUCAGCUUGCAGCUACUUUAAAGCACCAUCGGGUACUUUGGUCCUACGUGUGGCAAGGGCUGGGUUUUUGGUUUCAUGAGAUGCUUCAGCAGUGUCUCCCACAACUGGAGUCACGUUCCCAAAAUCGCUCACUGCGCUCCUAACCCUAUAUUCAAUUGUUGCCAAAGUCAAAGCUAAACACUUUUGAGUAGUGCCUCAGUGCAGAUAAUACUGCUUUGGUAACGUUAUGUAAUUACACAGGGUAUAAAAUGCAUUACGUCAAAAUGUUCUCUAUACGUCUCAAAUUUUCCUUUUCCCAGCAUUCAUUUCACGUUCCAUUACAGUAGUUUGAAUGACCCACACCUCCAUUUACUGAAGUACUGAAAUGCGUGGGUGAGCCCACAGAGCUCAGCGGUGUGCAACAUGAGAAGUCAAAGUGCUUCACAGUGGAAUUUAUUUGAGAAUAGGUACAGCUGCAAGAUGAAGAACAGGAGAAGUUCCUUUUUUGGGGAUAUUGAAAGACAAGAACUUUGUACAUGGCGGAGAGAAGAGAUAAGAAACAUGCAUGCAAAAACAACAUGGUUGACACAAGCAAAGCCAUUGACUAAAAGUGACUUGCAUAACAAUCCUUUAACUGUGGAAAAGCAAUUGUGAAUAAGUUGUCUUUAUCAGUUAGGAAAAUGAAGCAAAACAAAAGUACCAAUUACAUAAUGGCUGUGCAUCCACUGAAGAAUGUACGUAGAUCAGAGCCUGCUAAGCAGAAAACAACAGCGCGUUUAGAUCCAUUAUGAGUGAGAGAACUUGUUUUUGAGGCCACACCGACAGGAAGGAUCGUUGUAUUAAGAUAAAUAAAACGUCCAGAAGGGUGAUUAAAAGCAUUAUGUUGGACUUAGUGGAAUUAAACAUCUGGAUAGAAGUGGUGUUGGACACAGGCUGGCAUUUGGUCAGGAAUAGACUUCUCCGGUGCAGAAAAACAAAACAAGUGACUCAGUAGAACAAAGGCUGCAGUUGAAUGUGUUUGCCCGCAGGAUUACUGAAAAAAAAUGAGCUGUGGAAGGGCACAAAUAGAAAACCAAAAAUGGGACAGUAGCUGUAACAAAAUGAAUGGUAGCAAUGCUGACAGAAGACAAGACACAUGGAGCUAUGUGAAACUGGUAGUGUUUUUGUUCCUUCUACUAAUGGUGCUUCCGCAUUCCAGUUGAAGGAUUGGCUGUAACGCUGUCUGCUCUGUUUAUCUAUUAAUUUCUCUUGUAUGGUACCCAGUUGUGUUUUCAAAAGAAGUACAUAUUGUAUUUUACAAGACCAGCACUGUCAGACCCUGCACCUACAACAGGAGCUGUCUGCAAGGGCUGAUUUUGUUAUGCCAUGAAGCAUUUGUGUUCUUACUACGAUAAGCUGUUGUUCUACCAUUAAUUGUUUUGGUAGGCUUUUUUCCCCACUGUCAUAUUCUCAUUACAAACAUUUUUCUAUGAAAUAACACUAAUGAAGAUCCAACCAUCUAUCAGUACAAAGGGAAAUCUCACAUGAUCUUCUCAGCUAUAGCUGCUAACACUACGUUAACUCAAAGUCAGGCAUCCUACUGCUGUCAAAACCAAUAUCAAAUAUUAUUGGGAGCUGCAAUAUAUAAUGCCUUCAGAAAAACACACAUCUGAUAUCAAACAGCAUCUGAAUCUCUUUUCCCACAGGAUCAAAGCUAAAGCUUUGAUAGCCACACGAUAACCUUUGGUUAGAUGUAUUUUGCAGGUGGGUAUUGCUAAAAGUUAGCCAGUAACACAAUAAAGCAGGAGAUUAAUUAUGUAACAUGAUUAGAGACACUGGAGCACCACCAUUGGCAUAAGGCAUUACUGUUAUCAUUUACCUGUUCAAAUUACAUACAGGGAACGGAACUUUUCUAGUCUUCCGCAUUGCACAUUCCUAAUUUUACCUGAUCUCUCAAUUUUCAGGCAAGUUCUGGACGUUACUUUUGGUCAAUGCCUGUGAAAACCGUUCUCUCUAGAAAAUCCUGUGCAUGGAAUUACGGCAUCUCCAUAAUUGCUGUGAAAUCAUCUCAUCUACUUAUUCUGGAAGAAGCUGGAGGUGACAGCCACCUGCUGCCACAGAGCAACUCCGAGCCAGAACCACUCCUGAGCACCGGUAAAUAGUACUUCACUAAGUACUGAAGACAACUGAGAUGCCAGGAGAAACUUCUGGAAAUUAAAUCCUUUUAACUUCCUUUUACUACUCUUAUAAUUAAUUAAGACCUGUAAUUAUCCACUGGUUGAAGCAGAGCCUUAUAAAGCUGAAAAUUACUCACAAUUUGCAGCUGCAGAGACCUCAGUCAUUUCCCUUCAUUUUAUUGGAAAAUUUAGAAAUCUUCUCUUGGUGUAUACGUUCAUUCUGUUGAACAUAAAUUGGUAGGAUUUUGUUGCAGCAUGAAACAGCGAGACUAUUUCUGAUCAGUAUCAACUUCUUCCCGAUUCUUGGUUAAAUGCAUGCAUGUGGUUUUGCUUUUAAGUUCUAAAUACAGUCAGCUAAUUUUGAAACCACAACACGUUUUAGUAAAACAGAUUUAUCCAGUUGUACCUUUCAAAGCCCAGGGAUGGAGGCUGCACAAUAGCUCUGGGUCUGAGGAGCAGAGGGGGAUAAUCCCUUCUCUCAAUCCAGCAGCUGUGCUCCUGUUAGUGCAGCACAGGAUGCUAUUGCCUUUCUUUGCUGCCAGCGCACACUGCUGACCUCAAUUCAACCCUUUUCAGUAGAGCUGCUCUCCAGCCAGUCAGUCCCUUUAUCUCUCAUUUCUGGUCUACCAGAAGAAGGUGAUGUUGCUGUCCUUAAAGUGGAAGUUUGGUCCUUACAUUGGAAUUCAGUACUACUAAACCUGGGAUAAUUUUGCUGUUCAAUAACUUUGCUCCCAUCCUUCUUCCAUCCCUUUUUGAACUGCAUUUAUGCUUUUAACUUUGCUAAAUAAGGCUUGCUCCUUUGCAUGCCAAAGAGAUAACAAACGUAUGACACCUGAGUCAUUAGUAACAUCAGUACUCAUCAGUAAACUAAGCAUACUGAGCCACCUAAUGAAGACAAGAAUUAAAUGCUGCUAUAUGAUAAAUACACUGCAGAGAAUGGGGCUGCGGGCAAUGCUGACUUCAGGAAGGAAGCAAUCAAUCGGAAAUUUGUUUUUUAACCAAGGCUCUGAACACUUCUAAAAAAGUAGUUAUCUGCAAUACCAGGUUGGUAGGAGAGGUGGGGAAAUAAAAGUGCUCCCCCAUGGACCAGCUGAUCUAUUUCUGGACCACAGUUUGCACCACCUGCCUGCCAAAGAGCCUUCAGCAUACACAUCCUAAGGAGGGGGGUUAAAAAGAAAGGAGCUGCAGACAGACCAAGCCUGCAUUUAGCCUAGGAUAUAUGGAUGGCAGUUAAAGGAAGAGUAAAGCAACACGUGCUAUUUGCCCUAAGAAUCCUCACUGUUUCUCAUCAUUUUGGGGGGGAGGAGAUAAAUCCUAACACUUGUUGC